CCUACGGGUGGCAGCAGUGGGGAAUAUUGGACAAUGGGGGGAACCCUGAUCCAGCCAUGCCGCGUGUGUGAAGAAGGCCUUUUGGUUGUAAAGCACUUUAAGCGAGGAGGAGGCUACUAGUACUAAUACUACUGGAUAGUGGACGUUACUCGCAGAAUAAGCACCGGCUAACUCUGUGCCAGCAGCCGCGGUAAUACAGAGGGUGCGAGCGUUAAUCGGAUUUACUGGGCGUAAAGCGUGCGUAGGCGGCUGAUUAAGUCGGAUGUGAAAUCCCUGAGCUUAACUUAGGAAUUGCAUUCGAUACUGGUCAGCUAGAGUAUGGGAGAGGAUGGUAGAAUUCCAGGUGUAGCGGUGAAAUGCGUAGAGAUCUGGAGGAAUACCGAUGGCGAAGGCAGCCAUCUGGCCUAAUACUGACGCUGAGGUACGAAAGCAUGGGGA
rnacentral:rRNA from 1 species